rnacentral:rRNA from 1 species
UGACCGCUGGCGGCAGGCCUAACACAUGCACGUCGAGCGGCUGAAGGGAGCUUGCUCCUGGAUUCAGCGGCGGACGGGUGAGUAAUGCCUAGGAAUCUGCCUGGUAGUGGGGGAUAACGUCCGGAAACGGGCGCUAAUACCGCAUACGUCCUGAGGGAGAAAGUGGGGGAUCUUCGGACCUCACGCUAUCAGAUGAGCCUAGGUCGGAUUAGCUAGUUGGUGGGGUAAAGGCCUACCAAGGCGACGAUCCGUAACUGGUCUGAGAGGAUGAUCAGUCACACUGGAACUGAGACACGGUCCAGACUCCUACGGGAGGCAGCAGUGGGGAAUAUUGGACAAUGGGCGAAAGCCUGAUCCAGCCAUGCCGCGUGUGUGAAGAAGGUCUUCGGAUUGUAAAGCACUUUAAGUUGGGAGGAAGGGCAGUAAGUUAAUACCUUGCUGUUUUGACGUUACCAACAGAAUAAGCACCGGCUAACUUCGUG